AUUGCUUCUCGGCCUUUUGGCUAAGAUCAAGUGUAGAAUCAGUUUUAAUUGAUUGCGAACAUGUAUAUGGCAGACCUCAGUAGUCGUGUGGGGAGACUUACUUGGAUUAUAGAGAUUAUAGCCAAGAGAAAUCUUA
rfam:Myotis lucifugus cont2.21149, whole genome shotgun sequence.